rnacentral:rRNA from 14 species
AGAACGACUCUCGGCAACGGAUAUCUCGGCUCUCGCAUCGAUGAAGAACGUAGCAAAAUGCGAUACUUGGUGUGAAUUGCAGAAUCCCGCGAACCAUCGAGUUUUUGAACGCAAGUUGCGCCCGAGGCCAAUAGGUUGAGGGCACGUCUGCCUGGGCGUCUCGC